CAAUAGCGUAUAUUAAAGUUGUUGCAGUUAAAAAGCUCGUAGUUGGAUUUCUGGUCGGAGGCUCCUGUCCUCUGAUGAGCGUACAAGUGCGUCCUACCAUCCUUCUGUUAACCUUUAAGGCUUUCGCGGCUUUCUAGGGGCUCAGAUAUUUUACCUUGAGAAAAUUAGAGUGUUUCAGGCAGGCUAGCGCCGGAAUACAUUAGCAUGGAAUAAUGGAAUAGGACUUUUGCCUCUUCUGUUGGUCAUGAGGCUCGAGUAAUGAUUAAUAGGGAUAGUUGGGGGCAUUAGUACUUAACUGUCAGAGGUGAAAUUCUCGGAUUUGUUAAAGACUAACUUAUGCGAAAGCAUUUGCCAAGGAUGUUUUCAUUAA
rnacentral:rRNA from 1 species